CCCUUAGAUGUUCUGGGCUGCACGCGCGCUACACUGAUGCGCUCAACGAGUUUAUGACCUUGCCCGGAAGGGUUGGGUAAUCUUCUUAAAACGCAUCGUGAUGGGGAUAGAUUAUUGCAAUUAUUAAUCUUCAACGAGGAAUGCCUAGUAGGCGCAAGUCAUCAGCUUGCGUCGAUUACGUCCCUGCCCUUUGUACACACCGCCCGUCGCUCCUACCGAUUGGGUGUGCUGGUGAAAUGUUCGGAUCGGCCGUUUGUCGCGGUUUCCGCGUCAUGUGGCUGAGAAGUUCAUUAAACCCUCCCACCUAGAGGAAGGAGAAGUCGUAACA
rnacentral:rRNA from 1 species